rnacentral:RNase_P_RNA from 1 species
AGUUGGCCGGGCAGCCGCGCUUUACCAAUGUCGAAAGACGGUAGGGUGAGGAAAGUCCGGGCUCCACGGAAAAACGGUGCCGGAUAACGUCCGGCGGGGGUGACCCCAGGGAUAGUGCCACAGAAAACAGACCGCCCCGCAUGCGGGGUAAGGGUGAAAAGGUGGGGUAAGAGCCCACCGCGAAGCUGGCAACAGCCUUCGGCACGGAAAACCCCACCGGGAGCAAAACCGAAUAGGGAUGACACGCGGGUGCGCAAGCACCCCAGCCCGUUUUCCGGGGUCGUCAUCCGGGUGGGUUGCGAGAGGCCACGCGCAAGCGCGGUCCCAGAUGAAUGGCUGCCACGUUCCGCCCAAAGCGGAGCCAUACAGAACCCGGCUUACAGGCCAACUGG